rnacentral:rRNA from 1 species
AAUAGAUACCCCAGGUAGUCCACGCCGUAAACGAUGAGUGCUAAGUGUUAGGGGGGUUUCCGCCCCUUAGUGCUGCAGCUAACGCAUUAAGCACUCCGCCUGGGGAGUACGGUCGCAAGACUGAAACUCAAAGGAAUUGACGGGGGGCCCGCACAAGCGGUGGAGCAUGUGGUUUAAUUCGAAGCAACGCGAAGAACCUUACCAGGUCUUGACAUCCCAUUGACCACUAUGGAGACAUAGUUUUCCCUUCGGGGACAACGGUGACAGGUGGUGCAUGGUUGUCGUCAGCUCGUGUCGUGAGAUGUUGGGUUAAGUCCCGCAACGAGCGCAACCCUUGUUCUUAGUUGCCAUCAUUUAGUUGGGCACUCUAAGGAGACUGCCGGUGACAAACCGGGAGGAAGGUGGGGAUGACGUCAAAUCAUCAUGCCCCUUAUGACCUGGGCUACACACGUGCUACAAUGGACGGUACAAACGGUUGCCAACCCGCGAGGGGGAGCUAAUCCGGAUAAAACCGUUCUCAGUUCGGAUUGUAGGUCUGCAACUCGCCUACAUGAACG